UCUCCUCUGAAACUACUGGGCCAAAUUAAACCAAACUUGGCCACAAUCAUCAUUGGGGUAUCUAGUUUAAAAAUUGUGUCCGGUGACCCGGUCAACCAACCAAGAUGGCCGCCAUGGCUAAAAAUAGAUAAUAGGGGUAAAUUGCAGUUUUUGGCUUGUAACUAAAAAAUUAAAGCAUUUAGAGAAAAUCUGAAAUGGGGUUCAAUUGUUUAUCAGGUCAAGAUCUAUCUGCCCUGAAAAUUUGAGAUGAAUCGAACAACCAGUUGUUGGGUUGCUGCCUCUGAAUUUGUAAUUUUAAGGAAAUUUUGCUGUUUUUGGUUAUAAUCUUGAAUAAUAUUAUAGAUAGAGAUAAACAGUGAACAGCAAUAAUGUUCAGCAAAAUAAGAUUUACAAAUAAAUCAACACGACCGAUAUGGUCAGUUGACCCCUUUAGGAGUUAUUGCCCUUUAUAGUAAAUUUUUUACAUUUUUCAUAAAUUUUUUGUAGAUUUUUAGAAAAUAUUUUCCACUGUAAUUACUGGGCCAAGUUCAUUAUAGAUAGAGAUAAUUGUAGCAAUAAGAAUGUUCGGUAAAGUAAGAUCUAUAAACACAUCACCAUCAUCAAAACACAAUUUUGUUAUGAAUUUAUCUGUGUCCAUUGUUUAAUAUGCACAUAGACCAAGGUGAGCGACACAGGCUCUUGAGAGCCUCUAGUUUUUAUACCUGCAUGCCUU
rnacentral:lncRNA from 1 species